GAUGAACGCUGACAGAAUGCUUAACACAUGCAAGUCAACUUGAAUUUGGGUUUUUAACUUCGGUUUGGGUGGCGGACGGGUGAGUAACGCGUAAAGAACUUGCCUCACAGCUAGGGACAACAUUUGGAAACGAAUGCUAAUACCUAAUAUUAUGAUAAUAGGGCAUCCUAUAAUUAUGAAAGCUAUAAGCGCUGUGAGAGAGCUUUGCGUCCCAUUAGCUAGUUGGAGAGGUAACGGCUCACCAAGGCGAUGAUGGGUAGCCGGCCUGAGAGGGUGAUCGGCCACAAGGGGACUGAGACACGGCCCGUACUCCUACGGGAGGCAGCAGUGGGGAAUAUUGGACAAUGGACCGAGAGUCUGAUCCAGCAAUUCUGUGUGCACGAUGAAGUUUUUCGGAAUGUAAAGUGCUUUCAGUUGGGAAGAAACAAAUGACGGUACCAACAGAAGAAGUGACGGCUAAAUACGUG
rnacentral:rRNA from 1 species